GUUCCUCCCUCUGGUUCAGCUCCUGGUCACACAGAGUUUUCCCAGCACCAAACAGUGGAAAGUGCACUUUGGCAUGGAGGGGAAAUGAGCAAUGGAGGGUGAAAGGUGUCUUGGCAGACACUUCCAAUUUGUGUCCUUAUCUCAAGGUCUCCAGCUGUCUUCAGAGGCUUUUCCAGCAUCAUGAGUUUUGCAAGUUCAAAACCCUGGUAUUGAAAUUGCGUGAAUGAACAGAAGAACUGGAGUUGAAUGACAGUGAAAAUUCCCUGUGACACAAGAAAUGAGAAGACUGGCAAGAGAAGAGGAGCCAUGGCCGGGAAUGACCUUUCAGGCCAUAAACAGAACUGGAAAGCUCAGCUGGAUGUAAAGCUUUAACUAGUUGUCAAUCUGAAAUCAGCAGCUCCACGUCAAUGUAAUGGCCCAUUUAUCUCGAGCAGGACGACUGCAGGCAUCAGUGCUUUUUGGUACUGAUGAUUAUAAGUAAA